UACGUAGGGUGCGAGCGUUGUCCGGAAUUAUUGGGCGUAAAGAGCUUGUAGGCGGUUUGUCGCGUCUGCCGUGAAAGCCCAGGGCUUAACCCUGGGUCUGCGGUGGGUACGGGCAGACUAGAGUGUGGUAGGGGAGACUGGAAUUCCUGGUGUAGCGGUGAAAUGCGCAGAUAUCAGGAGGAACACCGAUGGCGAAGGCAGGUCUCUGGGCCAGUACUGACGCUGAGAAGCGAAAGCAUGGGGAGCAAACAGG
rnacentral:rRNA from 1 species